AGAGUUUGAUCAUGGCUCAGGACGAACGCUGGCGGCGUGCCUAACACAUGCAAGUCGUACGGGAUUUGGGGGCAACUCCAAGUUCAGUGGCAGACGGGUGCGUAACACGUGAAGAACUUGUCCGGUGGCGGGGGAUAGCCGGCCCAACGGCCGGGUAAUACCGCAUACGCUCGCGUGACGGCAUCGUUGCGCGAGGAAAGCAGCCGCAAGGUUGCGCCGACGGAGAGCUUCGCGGCCUAUCAGCUUGUUGGCGGGGUAAUGGCCCACCAAGGCGACGACGGGUAGCUGGUCUGAGAGGAUGAUCAGCCACAUUGGGACUGAGACACGGCCCAGACUCCUGCGGGAGGCAGCAGUGGGGAAUAUUGCGCAAUGGCCGCAAGGCUGACGCAGCGACGCCGCGUGUGGGAUGACGGUCUUCGGAUUGUAAACCACUGUCAGGGGGAACGAAUACAGGGCGUCGAAUAGGCGACCCUGGGUGACGGUACCUCCAAAGGAAGCACCGGCUAACUCCGUGCCAGCAGCCGCGGUAAUACGGAGGGUGCGAGCGUUGUCCGGAAUCACUGGGCGUAAAGGGCGCGUAGGUGGUUCGAUAAGUCGCUGGUGAAAUUCCGGGGCUCAACUCCGGAGCUGCCGGCGAGACUGUCGGACUUGAGCACGGUAGGGGCAGAUGGAAUUCCCGGUGUAGCGGUGGAAUGCGUAGAUAUCGGGAAGAAUACCAGUGGCGAAGGCGUUCUGCUGGGCCGUUGCUGACACUGAGGCGCGACAGCGUGGGGAGCAAACAGGAUUAGAUACCCUAGUAGUCC
rnacentral:rRNA from 1 species